CCCACCCAGCGCACUUCCUGAGGCUGCAGGGCUGCUGGUGGCCCUCUGGUCCCCUGCUGGAGCCGGAGUGAGCCUGCUCCCCACUCCUGUCCUGGUUCCUUCACCUGUGGGUUCAUCACCUUGUCCUUCCCUGCUGUGACAGGGCUGUGGCCCGGCUGUGACUGGAAGCCCAGGCAGCCCCGGAGUGGGUGGCAGUUGAGUCACACGGAGGACGCCCCCACCCUCGUCAUCACCAGUAAAGGCAAAGAGCCUUGCUAACCCGACACAAGACAUCUUCGCUCUGGCACAGCGUCAGAGAGGCUGGUGAAGACCCCCACAAGGUGAGCCCCAGAGUGACCACUGGCCAGGGCCAUUGCCUGCAUAGGGAGCAGAGAAAGCGGGAGCGGCCACUGUGAUGUCAGGUCCUUCCCCACCUUGUGGACAGCAGUUUCACACAGCUUGAUCUUGACCUCAGAGUACAGCUCUGUGGUGAGGAGCUCAGGCCCUGCAUAUACCGGACAGACCAGAGUUAAAACCUAGUUCUGCCAGCAACUGAGUCUAUGACUGGAUCACACCUAUUUCACCCGCCUAUUUACCCAUCUGUGAAACAGGAGUAUGGCACUGUCAACCUCAAGGGGGUGGGAGGUGUGAACAACUUGGUUUGAGGCCUGGGGUACCAGGGCACUGGGAAGAUGGCUGUGUUCAUACAACUGGGGGUAAAG